rnacentral:sRNA from 1 species
ACGUACAUGCUAACUACCAGCAUUAUGUUAGUGUACAGCCUCAACUGUUCUAACACUCUUAGUGUACUUCUGGACUGUUACUUUGAUAUAUGCAUUACAUAACGGAUAUGGCAUUCUAGUGUGAUACAUAUCAACCUUACAGAGAAUACCGAGCUUCCAUUUGGCUGGGAAAAAGUUGAAGAUCCUCAUUAUGGCGUUUAUUAUAUUGACCAUGUAAAUAGAAAAACUCAGUAUGAGAACCCAGUGCAGACAGCCAAGAAACAAACAGAUGAGGUGACUAACACUUACCCUCGCCUAAAGAAGCCAAUUGAAGCUGGGACUAAGAGGUCAGCUAGUGAAAACAACAUGAAUGGCCAGCUCUAUACUGGUGGUCGACCAUUUUUUACUAAAAACCCUGAUGAGCUAAAAGGGGAGUUCACUAAGACAGCACUUGUUAAGUCAAUCAGAGGACUCGGAUU